GAUGAACGCUGGCGGUAUGCUUAACACAUGCAAGUCGAACGGACUCUUCGGCGUUAGUGGCGGUUGGGUGAGUAACGCGUGAGAAUCUGGCAUUGGGUUCGGGACAACCACUGGAUACGGUGGCCAAUCCCGGAUGUGCCGCGAGGUAAAAGAGAAAUUGCCUGAAGAUGAGCUGGCGUCUGAUUAGCUAGUUGGUGAGGUAAAGGCUCACCAAGGCAGCGAUCAGUAGCUGGCCGGAAAGGAUGACCGGCCACACUGGGACUGAGACGCGGCCCAGACGCCUACUGGAGGAAGCAGGGGAGAAUUAUCCACAAAUGGCGAAAGCCUGACGGAGCAAUACCGCGUGAGGAAAGAAGGCUCUUGGGUGGAAAAGCACUUUGCUUAGGGAAGAACAAAAUGACGGUACCUAAAGAAUCAGCAUCGGCUAACUCCGUG
rnacentral:rRNA from 1 species